AUGCUCACUUCAGCAGCACAUAUACUAAAAUUGGAAUGAUACAGAGAAGAUUAGUUUGACACAUGCACAAGGAUAACACACAAAUUUGUGAAGCAUUCCAUAUUUUA
rnacentral:snRNA from 1 species